rnacentral:rRNA from 1 species
AUGAACGCUGACAGAAUGCUUAACACAUGCAAGUCGAUGGGGAAGUAGUGCUUGCACCAUGGCAACCAUGGCGGACGGGUGAGUAACGCGUAAGGGACUUACCUGCAGGACUGGGAUAACAGGGGGAAACUCCUGACAAGACCGGAUAAUGUCAUGGAGCUGCAUGGCUUUAUGAUGAAAGGAGACGCCUGCGGAGAGCCUUGCGUCCUAUUAGCUAGUUGGUGAGGUAAUGGCUCACCAAGGCGAAGAUAGGUAGCCGGCCUGAGAGGGUGGACGGCCACAAGGGGACUGAGAUACGGCCCUUACUCCUACGGGAGGCAGCAGUGGGGAAUAUUGGACAAUGGGGGCAACCCUGAUCCAGCAAUUCUGUGUGCACGAAGAAGGUUUUCGGAUUGUAAAGUGCUUUCAGCAGGGAAGAAGUAAGUGACGGUACCUGCAGAAGAAGCGACGGCUAAAUACGUG